rnacentral:rRNA from 1 species
AGAGUUUGAUCCUGGCUCAGAUUGAACGCUGGCGGAAUGCUUUACACAUGCAAGUCGAGCGGCAGCGCGGGGGCAACCCUGGCGGCGAGCGGCGAACGGGUGAGUAACACAUCGGAACGUACCCAGUAGUGGGGGAUAACUAACCGAAAGGUUAGCUAAUACCGCAUACGCCCUGAGGGGGAAAGUGGGGGAUCGCAAGACCUCACGUUAUUGGAGCGGCCGAUGUCGGAUUA